ACCAGAGCCUGGGAGCUGCCCCCGCCCCCGAGCCGCGAGCCCCGCGCCGGGCCGGGGAGUCCCCGGCGCCACACGCCCCCACCACCCCCAUCUUAGCGCCCCCCACCCUCUAUGGAGACAUUUCAACCAGGGAGAAGGGAAGUCCUGCCCUUGCCCCUCGCCCCCGCCCUGCUCCUCCAACAGGGGAGACUUCUGUCCAAACCUUGGAAAGAAACGAGAUGCCAGGCCUAGCGCCUUCGGGGAUCCUCUCUGGACAAGGCCACAGGGUGAAAACACCAGCACUUCCUGGAGGCGUUUGACCGGGACCUGGGAGGGCAGCUGAGAAGUGCCUGACCAUUCUCAAGGAGCUGCGUGGAUUCCAGACAUCUCUGGGCUGGUCUCUGGACCGGGAUGGGGGACCCAGAGGUGGAGCCGAACACACAAGCAGCACUUGAGGGCUCCGAGGGUGGCAAGGAGAGAAGUUCCUGCUCUGGUACAGCCCUGGGACCUUGAAAGACUGAAGCUAAGAAGUGCUGGAGACAGCAGUUGCUUUAGCCACAGGCUGUGUAGACCACCUGAGGAUGACCUGGGGGUCUGUUUUGUGCACCUUGGAACCCAUCGGAUCCCUCCAAUGACACAUUUGUCCAGAGCAAGACAAGAUCACACUUUGACAGCCCUCUGUCAAGAUCCUUGCUCCAAAUCUCCAGACUAGCAGCCAGGAGUCUCCAUGCUGUUCUGAAGAAGCAGAUUCCUCACCCACCCUUCAACUCCUUCCCAGGAGGUAAUCCUCCUCCAAAUCUCUGGAAAAGAUACACCUCCUCUUCUCUGAUAAAGGCUGGGGGGUGAUGCCCCUCCCCCAGUUUCCCAAUAAAGCUAUGCAAGACAGGAGCAAGG
rnacentral:lncRNA from 1 species